AUGUCGGUCACCGCCCUGACCGAGAGUGGUGAGAGCAGCGGCCCUCCGGGCCUCCAGGACAGCGCGGGCGACGCGAGAUCAUGAAAGUCAUGGUGAAAACCCCAAAGAAGAAGGAAGAGUUUGCUGUGCCCGAGAACAGCUCCGUCCAGCAGUUCAAAGAAGAAAUCUCUAAACGUUUCAAGUCUCAUACUGACCAACUUGUGUUGUGUUAUUUGCUGGAAAAAUUUUAAAGGCUCAAGAUACUUUGAGUCAGCAUGGAAUUCAUGAUGGACUUACUGUUCACCUUGUCAUCAAAACGCAAAACAGGCCUCAAGAUUAUUCAGCUCAGCCAACAAAUACCACUGGAAGCAAUGUUAACAGUUCAUCGGCUCCCAAUAGUAACCCCACUUGUGGUUCUGCUUCUAGCAGCCCUUUUGGUUUAGGUAGACUUGGAGGACUUGCAGGCCUGAGGAGCUAGGUUGGGUUUAAAUACUACCAACUUCUCUGAACUACAGAGCCAAAUGCAGGUGAAAACUUUUGUCCAAUCCUGAAAUGAUGGUCCAGAUCAGGGAAAAUCCCUCCGUCCAGAGCAUGCUUUCUAAUCCUGACCUGAUGAGACAAUUAAUUAUGGCCAAUCCACAGAUGCAACAGUUAAUACAAAGAAAUCCAGAAAUUAGUCAUAUGCUUAAUAAUCCAGACAUAAUGAGACAAACAUUGGAACUUGCCAGAAAUCCAGACGAUGCAGAAAAUGAGGAGAAACCUGGACCGAGCGUUGAGCAACCUAGGGAGUAUUCCUGGGGACAUAAUGCUUUAACUGCAGUGUUUACAGAUACUCAGGAACCUAUGCUGAGUGCCGCCCAAGAACAGUUUGGUGGUAAUCCAUUUGCUGCUUUAGUGAGCAGUACAUCCUCAGGUGAAGGAAGUCAGCCUUCUCCUACAGAAAAUAGGGAUCCGUUACCCAAUCCAUGGGCUCCACAGACUUCUCAGAGUUCAUCAGCUUCUAGUGGGACCACUAACAUUGUGAGUGGUACUGCUGGUAGUGCUAUCAGUACUACUGCUGGGCAGAGUACUACUGGGCCAAAUUUGGUGCCUGGAGUAGGAGCUAGUAUGUUCAAUACACCAGAAAUGCAAAGCUUAUUGCAGCAAAUAACUGAAAACCCAUAGCUUAUGCAAAACAUUUUGUCUGUCCCAUACAUGAGAAGCACGAUGCAGUCACUAAGCCAGAACCCCGACCUUGCUGCACAGAUGAUGCUGAAUAACCCGCUAUUGGCUGGAAAUCCUCAGCUUCAGGAACAAAUGAGACAACAGCUCCCAACUUUCCUCCAACAAACGCAGAAUCCUGAUUCACUAUCAGCAAUGUCAAAUCCUAGAGCAAUGCGGGCUUUGUUGCAGAUUCAGCAGGGUUUGCAGACAUUAGCUACAGAAGCUCCUGGCCUCAUCCCAGGGUUUACCCCUGGCCUGGGGGCGGUAGAAAACACUGGAGGCUCUUCAGGAACCGAUGGGUCUAGCUAGCACUGCACCUAGUGAAAAUACAAGUCCCACAAAUACUGAACCUGGACACCAACAGUUUAUUCAACAAAUGCUGUAGCCUCUUGCUGGAAUGAAUCCUCAGCUACAGAAUCCAGAAGUCAGAUUUCAGCAACAACUGGAACAGCUCAGUGCAGUGGGAUUUUUGAACCGUGAAGCAAACUUGCAAGCGCUGAUAGCAACAGGGGUGAUAUAAAGGCAGCAGUUGAAAGGUGACUGGGCUCCCAACCACCGUAG